AUGAUCCGGAUUAUAUACUCACCUGAUUAUCCAAUCACUACAACAGAAUUAGGUUAUAGGGACAUAUGUUUGGGACACUUUUGAGUAAGUGUCUCAUUUAUGCUAAAAUUUAAAAAAACAUCUACUAAUGCCUAAAUAUAAAGCCCAAUCCAACCAAAAAUAAAAGAUUACUCUACUCAACCCACCACACCCAGUCCAUUUGGCCCGAUUACGAACAGAAAAGAAAAAAAAAAAGAAAAAUUGAUUACCAUCUUUUCUUUUCUCUUCACUCAAUCCACUGAAAUUCCAGACGAAGAGCUUUUCAUGUCGUCCUCCUCCGCCACCGCAGCCAAUGAGAUAGAAUUUCGACGGUUGCUAAAUGCUUAAAUAAGUUUUGGUAAAUUAGCAGCACUCUUUUAAGUUAUAGCGACACUCUUUAACUGUCACUAUAUACCUAGCGACCCCACAUUUAGCAACAUUUUUUAAAAGUGUCGGUAAUUUUAGCUAACGGCAUUUUUUUGACAUGUACCUAUAUUUAAAAGUGUCGCUAUAGACCGUUUUUGUUGUAGUGAAUGAGUCAUAGAAAAUGCUGAGGUAUACGGGAUUACAUAAUA
rnacentral:lncRNA from 1 species